GUUUACGUCGGCCGGAGGAGCAGGCCCGGAAGACCUGCCGCAUGGGCAGCCCCCUUGCUGCGCGGCACCCUGUGAGCCGGGGCCUGUGGGCCACAGCUGAUUGGACCAAGGUUUACAGGGGACAGGGGACCACUGGACCAGUGUUUAUCCCAGUAUCUGGGAGCCACUGUGUGCAGCUGAGCACAGCCCAAGUGAGCAGAGCGGGUGGUUAAAGUCUUCCGUCGUUGCCCAGAGAAGUGACCUGAGUCGCUGAGUCCCAGGAUGCAGCUGGGAGCCAGGGACAUGGCUUCCAAUCCUUGAGCCUCUGUUUCAGACACAUGGCCUGAUUUUUUGCUCCAGGAGGCUCACCUCUGUGGG
rnacentral:lncRNA from 1 species